GAGACAAAAGAGAGAGAGAUGGCGACGUCAGGAACAUAUGUGACGGAGGUUCCUUUGAAAGGAUCGGCGGAGAAACACUACAAGCGGUGGAGGAGUGAGAACCACCUCUUCCCCGAUGCCGUCGGCCACCACAUCCAAGGUGUCACCAUCCACGACGGCGAAUGGGACUCCCAUGGAGCCAUCAAGAUUUGGAACUACACAUGCGGUAAAAAUACACUUACUUUAUUUGUUACAAACUUACAAGUAUACAGAGAAUCUAUUUAUCAAACGUUUGACCAUAUAUGUAAACUCAUCUCUCUCUAAAUUUGAUUCACUUGAACCCGACAAUUUUAUUCAUAAGUAGAUUGGCGGAUUUUUUUUAAGGAACAGUAACAACACACGUGAAUCUUGCCAUUUAAAACAUUCAUCAGAAACAUAUAUGUGGAAGAAUCUCUUUACCUUAAAAUUUAGUUGAGUGUUACAUGUAUAUAGAUCCAAACAUAUAUAAUAUAUGCAUGGUGCUAACUUAUCAAUGGAACACAUAUAUGAAGAUGGGAAACCGGAGGUGUUCAAGGAGAGGAGAGAGAUAGACGACGAGAAUAUGGCGGUAACAUUCAGAGGACUAGAAGGUCACGUGAUGGAGCAGCUUAAAGUGUAUGACGUCAUCUUUCAGUUCAUUCAAAAGUCCCCUGAUGAUAUCAUCUGUAAGAUCACUAUGAUCUGGGAGAAGCAAAACGAUGACAUGCCUGAGCCUAGCAACUACAUGAAGUUCGUCAAGAGCCUCGUUGCUGACAUGGAUGAUCACGUUCUCAAAGCCUAAAUCCCCUUCACAUCAACCCAUUAAUUAUCACCUAAUAUCAUGAUCAUCAUCACCCUCAUACGUACAUGGCUCCUUUUGUGUGUGUGUGUGUGUUUCGUUUUAUGGUGUUUUCAAUACAAUAAAUGGGGGUUUGCAUGUCUGGUUUCAUCUACUAUAUUAUGCUUUGAUGUUGUUUAUGUUGAGGCUUCAUGUAUGUUCAUCUAUACAUGUAUCCUUGUUAAUUAAUGAUUUUCAAGAGUAAUUAAUGAAUACUGUCCUUUUUAAGUGUUGCGCUAUUUAUGCAUCAGCUUCCACAAGGCUCACAUAAUACAGUACUUAAUAGUGGUUGUAUUAUUCAUCAUUUUGUACGUUCAUUUAGUGGUUGUAUUAUUCAUACACGGUAUUCAUUAUAGUUAGUGGUUGUAUUAUUUAGUUGUUGUUGCCAUCUUUUUGGGCACUAGGAUACAGAGCGGUCGAGUUCGAGGGAGACAAUCAAAAUGUAAUACGCCAAAUCAAUGGCUCUGAUUUGAACCCAAGGCUCCACCAUUUCCUAACCACGAUAUGGGGAUGGCGAGAUAAGUUUCCAAAGGCAAAGUUCUUAUUCAAGCAUCGUCAGCAAAACCAGUGUGCGGAUCUACUAGCAAAAACCAUUAGAACUUCUCCAAACCAAUGGUGUUUGUACCAUUCAUGUUCAAUGUUUCUUACUACAGCUGUAAACAAUGAUCUUUGAUAAGUAUUAAUAAAACGUCUUUGGAAAAAAAAAAUAUAUAUAUUGUUGCUGUCGUUGUAUGUUCAUUUAGUAUAGAGUAAUUAAUGCUGACUUUGUAUGUUCAUAUAGUGGUUAAUUGUAAUAUUCAUCAUUUUUUCUAAUUGUCCUGUCAUCGUCAGUAGUACUGUAUCUAUUGAUUGGUCGUAUAUAAAGAAAUUUAUAUCAGUAAAAUUCUAAGAUAAUUGAAUUUAAAAAGGAGAAAAAAACAUAGUUGAAUUUAAAAAAGGUUCGUAUUGGCUGCUGCAUUAUCUUUAUUAAUUUUCGUAUAGUUAGUUAAUCCUUUUUACAUACGCAUUCAAUAUGUUGCAGUGGCCCAUGAAGAUGAGAUUUGACAAAGGCAAACGGCAAACCAGUCUACGAACUAAGUACUAAGCCAGUGAAUGCGUGACAUCCCGACCCAUCCCAUAAAUAUGCAUAGUUGGUCUUCUUAUAACGACCCGUAAAUAAAAGAAUGGUCCACUAACUGAUAAAUGAAACUUUAAAUUUGUAGCCCAUUAAAAAUAUCUCAUAUAUGCAUGCGUCACAAAAGAAAAAUGUAAAUUGUAAAACACAAAACUAGAGAAACCAAAACAGAAAGUUAAAAAUACUCAAAAAGAUAUUCAAAUUUUCAAGCUUUUUCUUCUUGAUCAAGAAAACAUACUUGAGUUGCUUAUACGUAUGGAAACAACAACAGAUUCAUAGACAACAAAAGAAAGAAAGAAAGAACAUUAAUAAGUUUAGGUAGAGCCGUAGAGGAAGAGCCUCCACCUUUGGAAGAGGAAGUGAUACCUCUGCAACCAGCACCUUCAUGCCAUUCAAGCAUGAUCUCAAUCUCGCCGCAUUCGACAUUGUUAAGUCUAAGGAUCAUGUCUUGCGUAAUCUUAAUUACCAUUGUUCCAAACAAUGCUACUCUCAUCUGAUAAACAGUUGUGCCUUAGAGGUUGAGCCCUCUUGAUAGCACAUCCAUUAGGUAGCCUCAAAAGCUCCAUCCCCAUUUUCAAAGCCUCCAGGUAUGGUUGAAUGUCAAUGUUUGCAUCUCCCAUUUUGUCAUCUCCUGUGAACUUGUCCCAAUCAAACAUUGUCUGAACAAUUUCAAUAAACAACAACAAUAAUGUUAUCCCUAAAACCAGAACAGAACUUUUUUUUUAGUGUUAGUAACAUUGUGAUCUUUGAUAGCAACAGUCAUUUCUUCAUUCCAUACUAGGUUACAAUUUCUUUUCACCACACGUGUCCACACGUGACACGUGUCUUCAAUGUCUGAAGUUUUCGAUAAGAAGGGAGUGAUUUGGCGCCAGGUAAUUGCGAUGUUGAAGCAGUCUUUUUGGGGGCCUACUUCAUCCUUCUAUCUUUAGUUGUCUAGAGUCUCGGGGAAGAUCAUAAGUUCAUAACCAUUGUGAGAUGGUAGAAAAAGGCUUAUGCAUUGUCACUGUGGGCACUCGUGAACUCCCAGCCAUUUAUUGUAACUCAGGUUUUUUAUUGAAUAUAAUUUUACAUUGGUAUAGAAUAAAAAAAGUAAUUACUUUUAAAUCAAUGGGAAAUCUGUAAAUACUUGGAACGUUAUAAGUUAUAACCCUUAAAGUCAAUGAGCUUUCCAAACAAAGUCCAUCUAUCGGGAAAAAAGCCUUUUUCAACCUCUUGCAGGCGGGUUUUUCCAAUCCAAACUAUGACCCCUAGUCGAUUUCAACCCAAACCCAAAAAUAAUUCAAAAUCGAAACCUGAACUAAUGCAAAUGAGCCGAUUUCAACACGACGCGAAACAGUGUUAGUUCGAAAGUUAACGGUUGCUCAACCUUGGGUAAUUCUCUCUCUACAUCAUUCAUCAAACUUUGAAAAUAAAAUCAAAUAACCUUGAGAACUGUUAACUUUUGAACUAACAUUGUUUUGCGUCGUGUUGAAAUCGGCUCAUUUACAUUAGUUUAGGUUUUGAUUUAGAAUUAUUUUUGGGUUUGGGUUGAAAUCGACUGGGAGUCAUAGUUUGGGUUGGAAAAGCCCGCCAGCAAAUAGUUGAGGUUGAAAAAGACCGUUUUCCCGUCCAUCUAUCAUACCAAAGUAACAAAGGUUCCCAUUACCAAUCUUACAAGAAAUGAAAUCAUGAGACAUGAGCCAUCAGUCUUAGCUUUAUAGUUUGCACCAUAUAUAGGAAUCGUGAGUCGUCGUGACUGUCCUCAGCUAGGGGCCUUAGUGAUUUCCUUCCAGAAUGAAAGUCACCGUUCGCAGGCAAUCUAUACCGUAUCUUCAUCUGGUGGACUUUUUCAGUGCCGGCUCAACAUUUUUAUGGGCCCUAGGGCAAAAAAAAAAAAUUGGAUUCUUAGAAAUUUUUUUUAAUGUUUUUUUGCUGUAAAAAAAUUUUAUAUGCUAUUUUUGUUAAAAAUAUUAAUUACUAAUACUAAAAACAAUAAAUAAAAAAUUUUAUAGACCUUUCUAAAUUUUAUUUUUAUGUUAUAAUCUAACUUUUUAAUAUUUUUUAAAAAAUAUUUUAGAAAAUGGACCCUUUAAUUAUUGGACUACGGAAUUGGACCCCUGGCCAUCGCACCGCCCGCCCACCCAUCUGAGCCGGCACUGGACUUUUCGGCAUUCAAGGAACACAUCAUAUGAUUUGUUUAAGGUUAUAUUUAUCUUUUUUUAAAAAAAUUGAUAGGUGACGAGGGCAGUGAUGUAUGCAUUUGUCAACUCUAAUCCUUAUCAUUGCUUCACUAUAUGCACUAGAUUGUAUACCCGCGCAUUGCGCGGGAUUUUACUUUAAAACGUUUAAUUAAUGCGAAUCCUUGAAUAUAAUAUUAUAAAUAGAUUCAUUUGAAUUUUAAUAAAUUUUAUUUUAUUUAUGUGUAUUAUCUUUUCAAAGUAGUAAAAAAUUUCUCACUUUUGACUACAAUUUCUCUCUUUUAUCCUUUGAUGUAUGUAAAAGUUCUUUAUCGAUGACAAAUCUGAGAUAUAGACUCAUUUCUAUUCAAAAACAUUGGAUUUCAACGUCAACUUUUACAAUUUAUCUUGACUGUUUGAAAAAUACAAUUUUUUUUUUUUACAAAUAUAAUUUGACGUAUAUUUUGAUGCUAAAUAGUAUUCUUAAUGUUGAUUUUCCUAAAAUAUGUAACAUACGAACUCCUAAUUCUAAUUUUAAAAUACGUUUUAAAAUAAAAUAUAUUGGAACGAAUUGCACAAUCGUUGCCUCGAUUCUCGAGCUUUUCUCUCCCUUGAAAGCUUUUUUUUCAGAUCUCCGUUUUUACGUUUUGCUUGAUCUUAAUUGUUGCUAUUGAGACUUCUAGUUUAUGGUCCAGGAGUUAGUAAGGACGCUUCUCCGACUGCGGCGGUGUGGAUUUUGCCACCGAUGUAGCCGCUGCUCUGGUUUUAACGGAGGUGGUGAAUCGAGGUCGUGGUUCGCGAUUGAGGACGCCGUGAAGUGCUUCGAGGAUCCCCACGGCUCAACCGUUUUUCCUGUAGUGGAGGCUAUGGCGGAAGUUGGUGGCGAUAUGGUGGGUUUCGCGGUUUUGACGCGGUGGUUAACGGCAGCUCCUCUGGAUUUGCUUGGCUCACGCGGAGUUCGUCUUCAGAGGUUUGGGUGAGCCACCACCCUCUGGAUUCGCCGUGUUUGGUGUUCACCGGUCCGGUCGAGGCGUUCUUGCUUGGUCUAAUCGGAGAGAUCUGGAAGUGGAGGGAAGGGGAUAGAUCUAUGGGUCGGAUUGCUAGGUCGGGAUCUGACUCCGUAGUAGCGGUUGUCGCGGUGGCUAGCUUUUCGGGAGAUAAGUGGCGGAUCUGGUGCGUCGGUGGUGAGAGAACGUGGUUGGAAUUUGGACCCUUCCCGUUGUGUUCUUCGAUCUGUCGAGGCUGCCGUGAAGCUGGGUAUCUUGGGUUCACCGGAUCUAAUGCUCCGGCCACCGUGCAGUCGUCCAUCAGCAGGGUCCGAGCUUUCUGUUUCGUUUCCGACAUCUCUCUUGUUGGGCUAUUUUGUACCUGGGCCAUUGACUUGUAAGGCUUUUUAUGCCAAGCCCUUUCGGGAAGUUAUUAUAAAUUAAUAUAUUUAAAAAAAAAAAAAUAUAUUUCUUAUUAUUUCUAAUUAAAAACUCUUCUAUCUACCAUUAUUAUUAUAGUUCAAAUAGCAUCCUCAAAUAUUAUUAUUACAUAUUUUUAUUAUUUGAUUAGAUUGUUCUAUUUUUAUUUGUGAUGUUUAUAAUAGGUUUUUGUUUUAUUUCAAAUCACCUUAUUAUUUUUUUAAUCUAUGUUAAUUUCCUAAAAUUCCAGUAUAUUUUUUUUUCAGAUAUUCAUUUGUUUUUUUUAGAACCUAAUUUAGAAAAAAUUAGUAAACUAUAAUUAUAAAUAAUAAUAUUUUUUGUUAAUAUUUUAUUUAUUUUUUGUAAAUUAUUAUUUUUAUUUAGUGAAAGAUAAUAAUAAAAAGUGUGUGAAUUGAUUUUAGUUUUAAUGUUUUUUGUUAUAAUAAAUAAGUUAUGUGGAACCUACAAAAAAAAAUUAUCAUGUCAUGAAUGGUGAGGUGGACACCUUAAGAGGAGAGACACCUCUCUAAUUAUAUAUAUAGAUUUUGUCAAACCUAUCCUUAUCAUUGCUUCAUUAUAUGCAUUUUGUCAAACCUAUCCUUAUCAUUAUAACAAAAAAAAAAUAACAUUUUAUGAUAAGAACUUGGAAAACGUGAAUACGACUCAUUCUAAAUAUAUUAGCAGUAGAUAUCGAAUAAGUAUAUAUUAACCUGGCUCACAUAUUUUACGUUUAAACCGUUACACACUCUUUAUAAACGAAGGAAGACCACACGUGAAAAUAGUCAUCAACCAAAGUAAAAAAGCGCACACAGACACAUUUCACUCACGAAGAGAUGGCGACAUCGGGAACAUAUGUGACGGAGGUUCCAUUGAAAGGAUCGGCGGAGAAACACUACAAGCGGUGGAGGGAUGAGAACCACCUCUUCCCCGAUGCCAUCGGCCACCACAUCCAAGGCGUCACCGUCCACGAUGGCGAAUGGGACUCUCAUGAAGCCAUCAAGAUUUGGAACCACAUGCGGUAAAUAUACAUUUACUUUAACAUAACCCAUAAAUGUAUACUUACUUUAAUAGUAUUGUCAGGUUACGAUGAUUAUCUAUUGACGAUAGGAUCGUAUCUACGUCAUACUCCUAGUCAUAUUGUGAUAAAGUUUAUGAGUCAACAUUUUCUUGCUAGGCGCUAGGUCCACCCUCACCGUCCGAUUAGCACCUAGCGAUUUUUUUAACACGGGUCACAUGUAGAUAGAGAAUCCAGAGAGAAUAUUAUUAAAUAGUUGAAUUCUGUUUUUUUACCGGUAAAUGGUAAAUCUUUACCAAAAAAUCAACUAAUUUUCGAAGUCUACAAAAUAUGUGUGCAUGAAUCUCUUUACCUUGAAAUUUAAGUGUAGACUGUGUAGUGUAUACAUAAAUAGAAACACAUACAUGGUGCUAACUUCAUGAAUGAAACACAC
rnacentral:lncRNA from 1 species